AUAAAGAAAAUAUCCAAUUUAAAAAAUGGAAAGGGAAUGUGGUGUCAAAAAAGGCAUAAAUAAAUGCUUUUCGGCCUUUCCUGUCUCUGGAGUUUGGUAUCUUGGGUGUAGGAGCUGCAUAAGUAACAGUA
rnacentral:snoRNA from 1 species